rnacentral:lncRNA from 1 species
GCGCAAAGUGCAGUUCAAAUGCUUAACAAUGGAAUCAAACGUUUUACAAAAAUGGAAGGAGAAAUCUAUUGACACUGUUUUGAGAGGAGGAAACAGUGUGAUUGACGAUAUCUUGGACUCCUUACAUUACAAAGCAUGGUUUGUCCCUUGAACAUCAUGGACUGUAGUUGAAUAAACAAAUAAAAUCUCAGACCAGGCACUUCCCAAAUCAUCUCAUUUCUGCAAAUUUACUCCUGACAAUUGAAGCUAAUUGCUACCGUCAGAUCUAAGUAUAGUCUUCAUCAUCAGAAUAAACGCAACGUUCAUUAUUUUCACUUUUUUGAAAGCUCACAACCUACAACUCUCAAUCAGUUUUUAGCCUCGGCUUAUUACACAUUAUAACAGAUUAACAGAAUAGGAGAUAGGUUGAACCUUAUGUGUCAUGGUUGCAAAAUAUGACAAACUCGAGAGGAGAGAAGCAACUGGGAGAUAUAAAUAACUACUAAGUACUAACAAAAUGCAGAGUAGAACCAGUCCGAGAUGUCUAUCCCUUUCCAAAAUGCAGAAACAUUAUCUCGAAUGUUUAAUCAGAGCUCUGCUCAUCCAUAAGGAUUCUAAUUAGAAAAGAGAACCAUUAUGUACCCAAAAAAAAGAAAAAGAAAGAGAAUCAUUAAAAUGUUGACAUACCAAAUUCAAAUUGUGCUCUCUCAUCUUAAUUGACACCCAGCCCGCAUUAAUAUUCUAAAACAAAAUGGUACAAUUUAUUCUCACAAUUUCACCAGGUAAUGUUCUGGUUCCGGUUCCUUAAUCCUUAUCAUUUAUUUCUUUGGCAAACAGCAGCAUUUAUUUUGUUGUUCUUUCUCUUUCCAUGCCACUCAAGCAUUGAGUACCACAGAAUAUAUAGAAUUAUGAAGGCUUGUUCUGAAUCGGCCUUAGACGUCCUUAAGCCAAAGGUCGUAUCAGGAGCCAGCCUAAAGUUGGCCUCAAGCUCA